rnacentral:rRNA from 1 species
UACGGAGGAUGCGAGCGUUAUCCGGAUUCAUUGGGUUUAAAGGGUGCGUAGGCGGACGCUUAAGUCAGCGGUAAAAUUGCGGGGCUCAACCUCGUCGAGCCGUUGAAACUGGGUGCCUUGAGUGGGCGAGAAGUACGCGGAAUGCGUGGUGUAGCGGUGAAAUGCAUAGAUAUCACGCAGAACCCCGAUUGCGAAGGCAGCGUACCGGCGCCCGACUGACGCUGAAGCACGAAAGCGUGGGUAUCGAACAGG